rnacentral:rRNA from 1 species
CCAGUAUCUAGGAGGAGCACUCCACCUUGGACUGAGAAUCUGGUCAAACUUGGUCAUUUAGAGGAACUAAAAGUCGUAACAAGGUUUCCGUAGGUGAACCUGCGGAAGGAUCAUUA